GAUGAACGCUGGCGGCGUGCUUAAUACAUGCAAGUCGAGCGAACGGACUCUAAUCUUGCUUCUCUCUUGUUUGCCGAAGACGUGUGAGUAACACGUGUAUACCCUCCCUAUCAUUCUGAUAUAUCUUCGGGACUCCGUAUCUAAUACCGUAUAAUCUUUUGCUCCGCAUUGUUCGUUAGUAAAUUUCGGUCUUUCUGGCGGUUCUCGAUGGAUCCGCGCUUCAUUAGCUUGUUGGUGGUUUAACGGCUUACCAAGGCAACGACGGGUAGCCGGCCUGAGAGGGUGACCGGCCACAUUGGGACUGAGAUACGGCCCAGAAUCCUACGGGAGGCAGCAGGGGGGAAUAUGGCACAAUGGGCGGAAGCCAGAUGCAGCAACGCCGCGUGCGGGAUGACGGCCUUCGGGUUGUAAACAGCUUUCGCAUGUGAUGAAGCGUGAGUGACGGUAAUGGGUAAAGAAGCACCGGCUAACUACGUG
rnacentral:rRNA from 1 species